rnacentral:misc_RNA from 1 species
GCAAACUUGGUCAUUUAGAGGAAGUAAAAGUCGUAACAAGGUUUCCGUAGGUGAACCUGCGGAAGGAUCAUUACCGAGCGAGGGCCCUCUGGGUCCAACCUCCCACCCUUGUCUCUUGUACCUUGUUGCUUCGGCGGGCCUGCCUCACGGCUGCUAGGGGGCAUCUGCCCCUAAGCCCGCGCCCGCCGAAGACACCUAUGAACUCUGUCUGAAGAUUGCAGUCUGAGUGAAAUGAGAAAUUAUUUAAAACUUUCAACAACGGAUCUCUUGGUUCCGGCAUCGAUGAAGAACGCAGC